CCUCGCCCGUUUCUCUGAGUUUUAAUUCGUUUAUUUGCCUAUUAAAAGUCGAAAGUCAUUCUUCAUUAAAUAGAUCAGAUCAGAUGUUAAUUUAGUAACUGCUCUGGAUUUAGUGAGUGCAUUCAGACACCCAAAGCAAACCACAGGCUUGUUUUUCAAAUCUAAAGUGAAGUGCUCCCACACAGCAGGUACUUUUUCUGUUUGUUGCACGGAGUCACGGUCGGGACUGCCUCACCUCCGCCGUAUCUACUCGAAUAUGCACAUUGUAAUCACAGUUGCUGUUGUUGUUGUUUUUAAUAGAGUAAUCGAAUUUAAUUGAGUAAUCGUGUCAGCCCUACAACGCUCGCUGGAUAUUUAGCUCGACAGUCUACCUGUCUCAUUUCCUGUUUGGAUCUCUUCCUUGUCAACAACACCUGACCUGUCAUGUCGACACAGAGUUUGGCGCAGUAUCUUUGCCUCACUGUGAGGUUCCAGAUGACAGCGUUCGUCAGAUAGUGCCCUUGGACUACAUCAAAGACUUCUAUCCAAAGGAUGUCUUGGAUUUUGAAAAAAAGAAAAAGUAUGUGAUUCUGUGGAAGAAAUCUCCAGAACACUAGGGGCACUUCUACAGGGCACAAAUACUCAAACUGGCUGAAAGUUAAGAGGAAUUAAAGCGUAGGCGAGUCUCGACCUCUGCUCCAAAGUGAUGAGGAAGACUGCUUAUCUACAAAAAGCAACAUUAACCCAACUACACUUUUAUCCAAAGCGACUUACAGUGCAAUUAUUGCAGGGACAAUCCCCCUGGAGCAACCUGGAGUUAAAUGCCUUGCUCAAGGACACAAUGGUGGUGGCUGUGGGGAUCAAACAGGCAACCCUCUGCUUACCAG